GUCAUGUAUUUUUUUGACUGCAAUAUUAAAUGCUUUCACGUCACAUGCAAAAUUACACAGGAAUGUGGCUGACUUUUUAUUUGUAGUUUACAUGAGUGUCCUUGCACUUUUAUAGGAGUUAAGGCAGAUGUGGAGGCACAACGGGUGACACCAGACACACCCAAGCACAUUAUGUUCGGACAUUCAAUCAUGACAUGAUCCAGGUGGAUGCUGUCCAUUGAGAAAAGAGUUUGUUCAGCGGUUUCUGGAUAGAAUUAUUUCCAAAGAUGGGAAAAAGUGCACAUCCAGACAAGGAGCAAGCAAAAAGACAAGGAACUUGGUGCAGAGAAAAGCUGUGGCCAUUAACCCCCAUGUGAACAGCUUCAUGCAGUCCCUGAUUGAGUUCGAAUGGACGACUUCAAAGUAAAGGCCACUGUGGUCUGUCUGCCACAGUUUAAUGCAUUUAUUUUUAGUGUUAAAUGAAAUUCAAGUAGAAUAUUUAAAACUAUGGGCCAGUGUUGUUUUUACCACAGUGAAAUGUUACCUUUUAGUCGAUGAUGGACUUUAAACUGAAAACUUCAAACUAUGGACCAGUGUUCUAUUUGCCAGAGUUAAAUAUGUUACAGCAGGGGUCUCCAAACUUGUUUAUACUUGUUGAUUUUAUUUUAUGUUACUUGAUUAUAUGUUUAUUAUUGUUUAAAAUCUUGUUUUAAAUAUGUUUGUUUCAAUUAAAUGUUUUUUUAAAUAAAAUUUUGAUACAAACAUUGCUUGGAUUGCCUUUUAAUUCAUUAUGUUUUAAUUUAGCAUUUUUACCAUAUUAAUAACUAUAGAUUUAAACCUAAAUCUCUAGCUAUUUUAUAUAAUAUUAUUGUAUUAAUUGUAAUAAGUAAUAAAUAGUAUUUAUGGGUCAAUAUAGACAUUACAGUAAAUUACUGUAAAAAUAGACUACUGUAAUAAAAUAUUGUAAAAUUACAGUACAGUACUGCUUUGUAACUAUACAGUACUAGUUUGUGUACUGUAAAUGGUAUUACAGUACAGUACUGUAAAACCAAAAUACAGUAACUUACUGGCAACCGUGCUGCCAGUACCGUACUGUAAAAAUACAGGGAAAUCGUUAAC